ensembl:lncRNA novel transcript
AGUGCUCGGCACAAGGACUUGCUGUGCCAACGAAAAGGAAGCGAGGCAUUUUGGCUAGUCACCGCGUUUUUGCUGCGUCACAGGGAGACAGAAGAUGGGCUGCUAUUUCGUCGGCUAAAUGCUAUCAUUUUAAGCACCGUUCCAAAGAAAACAGGGAUCUUGCCAGAGGAAAAUAACAUAUACCAUAAAGGAAAAAGAAAUGUGCAUCAAGGCAAAUAAACAGCUCUCUACUAAGGGCCUAGGAUCUUGCUAGACGAGUCAUUUCUCUGGUUGAAAAGCAGUUGAGAAAGGCAAGACAAGGGGGGCGGGGGCCCAGCAGGGCACCUCUGAGCCCUUCCUGCUGCUCUUCAAAGACAGACGCAUUUUCCUUUCUACGGUCUCCUUGCAAGUCUUCUGUAGGCCCUGCCACCUUCAGGCUGACUGACUGCCUCCUUCAAAUAUCAGCAUUUGCUCAGCAGAGCUUUGUGCUGGUGGACAGAUGGAUGUGCUGGAAGGAGACCCCUGCUGACCCCUGCUGACUCCAUGACAGAGGGAUGGAAAUUCUGCCCCUCCCAGACCUCACCCUAUGCGUUCUGUUUCCUUUAUAAUGAAAGCACAAUUAGAGGUAACUGAGUUCUGUGAGUCAUUCCAGUGAGUUAUCCAUUCUGAGCAUGUUGUGGGAACUCCAGAAUUUGUAGCCAAGGUCCCCCGGGACUUGUGGCUUGCAUCUGAAGUGGGGGUAGUCUUUUGGAGACUUUUGUCCUUAACCUGUGGGGUCUGAGCUGCCUCUGCUAGACAGUGUCAGAAGUGAAUUGCAGGAUACCCAGUUGGUGUCUGGCCAGUGGGGUUGAAAUGGAAUCCAUGCAGUUGGGGGCGAAGGUGCAAGAGUGAUCAUGAUGGUGCUUAAGAGAGGAGCAAGGAAGGGUACUGGGGAGUCGACACCCUCAUGUCUGUGAGCUGACUGCAGGACGUCUCCUGUCCAGGUGCUGGCACCUCAUCUAACAUUUGAAGGUAAAAGCAGCUCUGGCCUCCUGCAGGUGCAAGGACCCGGGAGCCGCUCUGUGGGCUGGGCUCAACCCAGGUGUUGGCCCAGGCUCGGCCCAGGCUGGCCAUUCCGGAUGAUUCUCCUACUUCCUCCUCGGAGUCCUCAAGUAUCACUGUCCCCUUGCACUCCCUGUCUUUGAAUCUUACUUUCCAUCCUCCACCUCCUCCGGCCGCAGUGCACCAAGCUGGAAGCAGCACCCUGCAGCCGGGCUGGACCACUCUGGAGAGCAGUGAGCCCAGCAGAGCCCCCCUAGGGAUCUUCAGCCCCAGCUAUGAGUCUCAGAAGCCAUGCCCCAGGGCUGUGGUUUCACAGGUGCAGGUCCAACCCUCCUUUCUCUGCCUUGUGGCUGCCUGUCCUGGGGCAGGUUACGUUGCCCCUGGGAGCCUCUGUUUUCUGUAAAAUGGUCCCAGUAAUGGCAUGCAAACUCCUGAGCGCUGUAAGGAUGGACAGAGACAGCAUGGCGCAGUCAGUCCCUGUUACUACGGAACCCAUUGUCAUGAAUUCUGCUGCUUUGCAGGCUCAGAAGAAAAGCCACGUCUGCCUACACAAUCUCACAAUCCGGCUUCAGCAAAGCAUGAGUUAAUUCAACUUCAUACUCGUGAACGUGAAGCGGGGGUUGGAAGGAAUGAAGGCUGCAGGACACCCAUGUACCAAGAAAAAGAAAGACAAAUUGGUUGUUUUAUCUACUUUACAUCAUGAUGGAGUCCUAAAAAGUAAACAAAUUUACACA